UGGGGAAUAUUGGACAAUGGGCGAAAGCCUGAUCCAGCAAUGCCGCGUGAGUGAUGAAGGCCUUAGGGUUGUAAAGCUCUUUUACCAGGGAUGAUAAUGACAGUACCUGGAGAAUAAGCUCCGGCUAACUCCGUGCCAGCAGCCGCGGUAAUACGGAGGGAGCUAGCGUUGUUCGGAAUUACUGGGCGUAAAGCGCACGUAGGCGGCGAUUCAAGUCAGAGGUGAAAGCCCGGGGCUCAACCCCGGAACUGCCUUUGAAACUAGAUAACUAGAGUCUUGGAGAGGUUAGUGGAAUUCCGAGUGUAGAGGUGAAAUUCGUAGAUAUUCGGAAGAACACCAGUGGCGAAGGCGACUAACUGGACAAGUACUGACGCUGAGGUACGAAAGCGUGGGGAGCAAACA
rnacentral:rRNA from 1 species